GGUCUGCUCCGGUGGCAUAGUGGUUAGAGUGUCCGCCUCAGAUGCGGGAGGUCUUGGGUUACAUCCCCAGCCAAGUCA